UACAGAGGGUGCGAGCGUUAAUCGGAAUUACUGGGCGUAAAGCGUGCGUAGACGGUUAUUUAAGUCGGAUGUGAAAGCCCCGGGCUCAACCUGGGAAUUGCAUUCGAGACUGAAUAGCUAGGGUGCGGUAGAGGGAAGCGGAAUUUCCGGUGUAGCGGGUGAAAUGCGUAGAUAUCGGAAGAACAUCAGUGGCGAAAGCGGACUU
rnacentral:rRNA from 1 species